AGGGAACCACAGAUAAUCUCAAGCAAACACCACAGGCAACAAUCCUUUCCAGUAAAUAUAUAUGAUAUUGUCAUCGAACUGAGGUUGAUCGAGUGAAACGUUGCAACAACUUCCUAGACCGUAAUGUAUAUCGCGGGUUUGAAGGUUAUAUCGGCGAGUGUUCUCGAUGUCGGUGGCCUCCGCAAGACAGUGACGAUGCUGUCUCGAAAGUGAGUUCAUGGCUGUUUAUAGAAUGCGGAAGAAAACAAACAAUUCUGUUUGAUAGUGCGAGAAUGUGGACUUUUAUCAAAUAUGAACGUCUUCGCAUCUUCAGCGAACGAUGCAAUUAGGUUAAGUUGACAAGGGACAUACGUUCUUUGCAAGUACUGCACAACAUACUAGGCAAUUUGUAAAUGUAUGCCGAAUAACAAAUUAGUAGGCCAAGAUGAAAUAUGGUUGUCCAAGGUUUCGCAUGGUGACGCUAAACAAACAUUGCAUGGCCUUAAUAAAUUAUUUACUACAAAUUGGGCAUUACGUAUUUGUACAUAUAGACAGUGUAUAAAACAGUUUACCUUUACAAAAUGCCACAUAUUACUCGAAAAUGGGAACUUUUCCCAGGUAGAAACCGAUUUUGUUGUGAUGGCAGAGUGAUGAUGGCACCGCAAACUAGAGUUUUUUAUGUGACUGUGUGCCUCAUUGCUGGAACCAGUGGUUUAUUCUUUGCUUUUGAUUGUCCAUUCUUAGCAGUUCACAUAACACCUGCUAUACCCGUUAUUGGUGGCUUACUAUUCAUUUUUGUAAUGUCUGCUUUAUUCAGAACAAGUUUUAGCGACCCUGGAGUAAUACCAAGAGCAACUCCCGACGAAGCUGCCUACAUUGAAAAGCAAAUUGAGGUUCCAAACAAUGGUAAUUCUAAAAUGUAUAGACCUCCACCCAGAACAAAGGAGGUAUUAGUGAAAGGUCAACCAGUAAAAUUGAAAUAUUGUUUCACUUGCAAAAUAUUUAGGCCACCAAGGGCUUCACAUUGUAGUUUAUGUGACAAUUGUGUAGAGAGGUUUGACCAUCAUUGUCCAUGGAUUGGGAACUGUGUGGGUAGAAGAAAUUACAGAUACUUUUAUGCUUUUAUCGUGUCCUUGGCAUUUCUUUGUGUUUUCAUACUCGCAUGUGCUGUUACACAUUUAAUAAUGCUCACAAGAGAUGGUAGACCAUUUUUAGAAGCAGUUAGAAUAUCUCCCGGAAGCGUUGUCGUAGGGGUUAUAUGUUUUUUCUCUGUUUGGAGUAUUCUUGGCCUUUCUGGUUUUCAUACACAUCUAACUACUAGUAAUCAAACAACUAAUGAAGAUAUCAAGGGAUCAUUUUCCAUUAAAAGAGGACAAGGAAGUUCCAACCCUUAUAGCCAAGGAAAUAUAUGUGGAAAUUGUUUCUACGUAUUAUGCGGACCUGCACCACCUAGCUUAAUUGAUCGAAGAGGUAUAGUGACGCCUGAAUAUCGCGCGGAACAAGAAAGAGUUAGCGAUGACAGUGUAAUCACUAGUAAUAAGACGUACGGUACUGUGAAAAUUGUACAACCACAGUCCAAUGGUACAACUGUUCAAACAAAUCCCAGUACAGAUCUCACAGGUUCGAUGAACAAUCUCGUCACCGGUCAACACUCGCCGCAAAUCGAAUCAAUAAACGGUGAGUUAAGCCUUUUGAGGCAUACCGUUCGUUAUCCUGAGGAUCUACCAGAGUAUUCACGUCAAUAUAUUAACGAUACAUAUGCUCCAACGUAUCCCCUACAGCACUGUUUUCAGGAUUCUGUAAAACAUAUAAAAUAUGAAACAGAUAGGGGUAAUCCAGAUUUCCAAAAAUAUCCAUGCAGAUGCGAGGAGAAUUUGCAUAAGUAUCCUCAUAGAUGUAGGGAAGAGUAUCAUAGAUGUUCAGAUAACAACUUAAUGUAUGAUCAGUGUGUCGGCGAUCAAAAAUUUGUUAUCGAUCUUCAAAAAUAUCCGCAAAGAUAUUCCGAGGAUCCUAUAAGAUACAAAAUCGAUGGUCCCAGUGGUUAUACCGAUCUUCAAAAAUUUCCACAAUGUUACUCCGAGGAUCCAUUACGAAUUUCUCAAUCUCAACAUAUUCUUAAAUACAAUAAUUUGAGAUGCACUGUUCAUGGGUUAAAGUAUCCAAUAUCAAAAAAUCUGUUACCAGCAGUUGUAAUGUCGCGAAUAUUGGGGGCUGGGGGAAUGCCAAUUAUCGGUCAAAACGCAAUAGGACUCCCAGUUAACAGAUUCGGUUCAGGACCAUUAAUCAAUACUUUCGCUUACGCGGAAAAUUCUUUGUGCCCAAGUGACGGUACCGAAGAAGAUCUUUUAAAUCGGAGAUUUAUCAUGAGUUCCAUGAGUGAUAACGAUGAUAUUUAAUAUUCUUUACGACAUUCGCAUUUUUUAAAGUAAUAAUAUUUAUCCCACCUAUUAAACAAAAAUUUAAUAAACGGCCAUAGCGUCACUUGUUAAGGAAAUUCUUUUAGUGUGUUACGAUUAAAAUAUUAUAGGUACUAAUACUCUAUCCGUUUACUAUUAAAAGAAAACUUACAACAUAAACUUUUUAAAAUGUACAUAACGAUUAUCAAAAGUAUACUAUAUAAAUACUAUAAAAAAAGUACAUUAAUGGCAUUAACAAAGAUUAUUAUUACGAUGAUUGUUCAUGUUUUCUCGCGCUGCAACUUACAGAUUUAUACAAACGAAGUGCAUUCAAGUUGAAUUUUGUUGUUAUUAACAGAGAUUUAUUUAUUUUUCGAAUAUUCAAUUUAGUAUUAAGCACAUAGAUAUGUUUUUUAAAAAUGAGAAGAAAGAGAGAAAUUAAUAUUCUUGUUACAGUGUUAUAUAUAUCUUGACUGAAAAAAGAACUGACACAUUAAUUUCAUUACAACUUUUAAUAUUUUGCAAUGACACACAUUAAAUAGUACAAUAUUCAUUGCGUUCGUUUAAUCUAAAGCAUUUAAUCACGAAAUCGUUUUCGCUAUAACAUUGAUCUUUGACAUUAUAAAGGAUCGUGUUUGAAUAUAAAUAUUAUCGACUGCAUUGGAUAAAUUUAAGUUUUUUUUUUUUUUUAACAUUUCGCUAUAUUUCUAUAUAAUUCAAUAAAUUGUGUUUCUCUGUUGUUUAAAAUUACGUCCUGUUAUCGAGGGCUCAGAGCAUACCAUUUGGUAGUACUACAAACAGCGUGAGCCAACUUGUUACCAACGAAGUACCACUAGCAUCACUUAAUAUAGCUCCAAUUGAUAUCGAUGAAAUUGCUCCGCUACCUCCCCGUCAGAGUGUUGUGAUUUCUUCUACGUUGGAU